rnacentral:lncRNA from 1 species
UGUCACCUGUCGCCCUGGGAGUCCCAGAGAGGCAUUAACAUAGGCUUGGGUUUUGCAGGACACUGAUGGAAGGUGGGCACGGAAUAGCAUUGUUCCCUGCCAGCAUCAAGAAGCAGCCACUAAACAGAGGGAAGCACAAACGCUGGUGACCAGGGCGAGGUCUGGAGCUAAUAACACACUGUAAAUAGCAGCCCGCCCCCCAGGAUGCUAUUUUCUGUUCCCAGCUGUCGAGUGAUGGAGGUUUCCAGCUGGCUGGACCUCAGAGAUCGCUGCGUUCAACAUCCUGUCUCCACAGAGGAGACAGAAGGACACUGAGAUAGGCUGUGGCUUCCCCGAGGUCACACGGCUGGGCAGGGUCCUGGGUCCGGUCCAGGGAUAUUUCCUCGCCUCCUUUAAGUGUAAUCUCUUUGUGUGCUACUGUCCAAAUUGUUUAUUCUGCAAGUGUUUUACUCUGCAAAGGCUGCUUUGGACCCGUGGACCGACAGGGAUGCCGGCAGAGAGACCGGCAGGGGGAAGCGUGCUUCCACACAGUGGUGAUGGGAGGUCACCCUGCAGCCAGGGGUGCUCAGAGUAAGGGCAGAUUGGGCGCGGCUUCCUCAUGGAGGAUCCCCUGGGGAUUACAGGAGCUGAGGCUCUCAUCUGCCUCUCUAGUAGAGUUCAGUGGCAGAGGACAGACAGAGGCUUCACACUGGAGAUUUUGAAGAAGGAAAAUGGUGCUUGGCUCCCGUUAAUUCCACUCCCCUGGUUUGCAAUAAAGGAGACGCUGGCUUACAAACUAAGGAGGGAAAGGGGGACCAUCGGGGCUUACCAAGCCGAACUGCCACUCCAGGGGUGAGUCCCUCCAAGGGCCGCCUCCCAUCUUGAUCCAUAGCCCCCCCAGGGGGGCCCCACCAUGUCAUUGAGGCUGCUUCUCCUGCACCCAGCACAGUGCCUGGCCUGGAGGAAGCACUUGGCACACACUUCUGAGGGAAGAAGUGUCCCCUUGUCGGCCGAGGCAGCUCAGAUCCCACCAGGCCCUGCAGAGCCACCCGAGAGCCUCUCCAUCCUUCUCCCUCUCUGCGCCUUGGGCAGGGGCAGGCCACGGGGGCAAACGGUGCUCUCCAUCCUUCUCCUGCUCAAAAACAGCCACUCUGCUCUCCUCAGGCUGGCCAGACGUUCCCACCACAGCCCUGCUCGUGAUAAUAUAUCCCAUACAUUGUGCAUAGUACACAGUACACUAGUUUUAACAUAAGAUUCAAUUUUAUACGUUAUACAGUCAUACAUUAACUUAUAUAGUAUAUAAAAGUUCAAUAUUUAAUAUAUAUUUAAUAAUAAAUAAUGUUACUAGACAAUAUAUUAAUACAGUAUACACUAUAUGUAAAUAUAGCAAUAUAUUUUACAUAAUAAAUUAACAUAAGUAGCAUGGUAUGUAUAAUAUGUUAAUAUAUUACACAUAAUAUAUUAUAUAAUAAUGUGUUCUAAUCUAAU